rnacentral:rRNA from 1 species
GACGAACGCUGGCGGCGUGCCUAAUACAUGCAAGUAGAACGAGUUGCGAACGGGUGAGUAACGCGUGGUAACCUGCCUCAUAGCGGGGGAUAACUACUGGAAACGGUAGCUAAUACCGCAUGCCAUCAGAUGUGCCCAGAGGGGAUUAGCUUGGUGGUGGGGUAACGGCUCACCAAGGCGACGAUCCCUGGCUGGUCUGAGAGGAUGACCGGCCACACGGGAACUGAGACACGGUCCAGACUCCUACGGGAGGAAGCAGAGGGGAACAUUGCACAGUGGGCGCGAGCCUGAUGCAGCCAGGCCGUGUGUAUGAAGAAGGCCUUCGGGUUGUAAAGUACGUUCAGCGGGUAGGCGGUACCCGCAGAAGAAGCACCGGCUAACUCCGUGCCAGCAGCCGCGGUAAUAC